AUGAGAAACACCACUUUCCUGGGGAAUUCAAGGGAGGGGCAAGAGCUGCCUUGCCAACAGCACACAACCACCUCUCUGCCUGCUGCGCACACACACACACACACACACACACACACAAUCCAGCUGCAGACUGCUAGUUUUACCAAGGCUAUUUCUGAGUCAUUUCCAAUGCAAUGCUGGUGCAUGCGUUGCCGACGGGAGGUAUCAUUUAAGAAACGCAGGCAGGCACACAUUCAGGUGACCUAGAUUUUGCAAGCUGAGCUGAGCCGCUGUCUGUUGCAGAGGGAUAUGAAGCCAAAAGCUACACUGCGGUGAGGCUGAAGGGAGGAAAAGUGAGUGGAAGCUUGAUUUUUGCUCACUUCUGAACUUGUUUUCUUCUGUCCUCGCUGGAUGCACUGGCACUAGUCCAGAAAAUGAGAAGGUGUGUGGGGGGGAAUUCUCUGCUUAUUUGCAUAGCUCAAAUCUUUUAAACAAAGUUAUUACUCCCCUACCCAAAAUGAAAUCCUUGUCUUCAGAUACAUUUGUCCUUGCAGCCUAAUUCUGCCCAGAAGCAAUUGGUGGGUCACUGUGUGAUGCUGGACUAGAUGGGCUUUGGCCAGAUCCAGCAGGGAUCCUCUUAUGCUAACACAAUCUAAAUAAAAAGCAAGACCCCGCUGUUCUUCUGUGUUGA
rnacentral:lncRNA from 1 species